GGCACGUUCUGCGUGGAGCACUGGGUGUUAUGCACAAAUAAUGAAUCAUGGAACACUAUAUCAAAAACUAAUGAUGUGAAUGUAUAGUGAUUAACAUAACAAUAAAAAUUAAAAAAAAAACUCAUGGGAGAAAGUUGAAUAAUGAAGAUGGAGAGGCUCACUGCCAAACCUUUAUUAGACAUCAGCUGACAAAGGUAUGACUCUCAGUGUGGUCUAAUGAUCACGUGCAUCAGAUUCGCUCUGAGUGUUCUUGAAACUGCACAUUACCGCUUACCUUGAUCUACUAAAUCAGAUUUUCUGGCAGUAAAACCCAGGAGCCUGCAGUUCCCAAAAGCAGCACAAGUAAUUUGUAUGUACAUUAAAAUGUGUUUAUGUCUGCAUUUAGAUGAGAAGCUAUGAACAUACCACUGAUUUAAAACUUUGUCAAGCUCUCAGCAGGAGUUCGGAAAUUCAACUGGAAGAUAUUCUUGAUGCAAAGCCCCGAACACUCAAUCUAAGAAGAAAUCUUGGCAUGACGAAGUUGGUGUUGAGUGAUGAGAUACAAAGCCAGCCAAUGUAAAACAGCGGUUAACAAAUUGGAGGACUGAGGAUGAAAAGUCUUCUGAAAUUGGUCCUAAUUGGAAUUAAAAGUAGACUCUGAAUAUA